AGAGCCCUGGGAACUGUGGACGUCUGCAUCUGCUCACAGCCCCCAGGUCCCAGCAGCCUUAUCGGAGCCCUUGGCUGGGAGCCUGGAGACCUGAGGGUGGCUGAGCCGGCACCAUGCUUCUACCCCACCCUUAGGCAGCUACCCAGGCCUCUCCGGACCUCAGUUCUGCAUCUUCAAAAUGGGGUCGCCCAGGUAGACAUGAGGACUGACGGGCAGGCGUGGGACACUUGGAGCUCAGGAGGGCAGGCACCGAAAACACACACCCUCUGUGCUGUGACUGGAACCCCCCAUGCAGCCUGCCGACUCAUUUCCACUCUGUACAACUCUACUGAGAAGCUCCUCUAAAUGUUCCCGAUUCCAACCCAGAAAUUCUGCUCCUGGCAAAUCAAACACAAGGGAAAAAUGCAGAGGAGGGUAUUUGCUGUAACAGGAUGGAGAACGGUGACUACCUGCAGACAGCACAGAUGCUGCUCCCUGGACACCGAGUGCACGAGCCCCUUGGAACUUCCCUUUGGCUGUCUUGGAUACAACAUAUACACACCACACUCACACACACAAACACCACACACACGAUACAUGCAGACACAACACACACCACACUCACACGUAGAAGACACACCACAUACAACAAAACACACACACUGCCCUCACAUACAAACACACCACACCACACAUGCCAACACACACUGUGUCCAGGCAUGCAAGCAUGCUACACACCACACCACACACACACACACACACACACACACUCGAACUUACAGCUACAGAAGUUAAACAUCACAUUCCACUUCAGUCCAUUCCAAAGAGCGCUGGUUGUCACCACAACAGUGACCUCCUGGCCCACCAUGGAUGGACAGCCACAUGGAAUCUGAGCACCACCGCCCCCGUGGUCCGGCCCCUGCCUGCCUCUGAGAGUUUCUCUCCUGCGCUGCUCUCUCACUCACUUUGAUGCAGACACACUGGCUCCCUUUCUGUUCCAGGCACGUGCCUGUCCCAGGUCCUUUGCUUUGCCCCUCGCCAGCUGGUGUCCUCUUCCUAGUUACCCAAGGGAGCUGCUUUGUCCUCCUUUGAAGGUGCCUGUUUAGAUUUCACCUGCCAGGGAACUCGGCAUAAUUUUGCCAUCACCAAUGAAUUAGUUUAAAAACGUCUGCUGCUGCUGCCGCAAACCCCUCUACAGCUGUUUUUGAGGUGACCCCAGUAAGGAGGCCCCCCAGACGGCUGAGGAUCCCAAGGAAGGCUUUUGUGGGAACGGCUCAGAUGACCAUGGGCAGCAGCCCCUCACCACUCCUGGAACUGCAUCCUCACCUGCCUGUAACCCUCCUCCCACGAAGCCGGAGCCACCCCUGGAUCCU